rnacentral:rRNA from 1 species
AAGCCUGACGGAGCAAUACCGCGUGAGGGAGGAAGGCUCUUGGGUUGUAAACCUCUUUUCUCAAGGAAGAAUCUUGACGGUACUUGAGGAAUCAGCAUCGGCUAACUCCGUGCCAGCAGCCGCGGUAAUACGGAGGAUGCAAGCGUUAUCCGGAAUGAUUGGGCGUAAAGCGUCCGCAGGUGGUUGUGUGUGUCUAUUGUCAAAGGGUCAUGCUUAACAUGAUAAAGGCAGUGGAAACUACACGACUAGAGUGCGUUCGGGGCAGAGGGAAUUCCUGGUGUAGCGGUGAAAUGCGUAGAGAUCAGGAAGAACACCGGUGGCGAAAG